UGGGGUUGCCAUAAGAAAUGACGAAUAGGCCACUCGUCGAGCUGUGGGAAUGAUCUGGCCAGACCCACGAUGUAAUGGCUCAGGUGCAAUUUUGGCAUCAACAAUUUUGAAUUUGACAUUUCUAAUGGGUUCAUCGCAAAGUGGUCCUUCUCUAGCUCCCCAUUGAAACCCUUGAACAAUGGAAUCCUUGACGGCAUUCAGCA
rnacentral:misc_RNA from 1 species